AGGACGAACGCUGGCGGCGUGCCUAAUACAUGCAAGUAGAACGCUGAAGAGAGGAGCUUGCUCUUCUUGGAUGAGUUGCGAACGGGUGAGUAACGCGUAGGUAACCUGCCUUGUAGCGGGGGAUAACUAUUGGAAACGAUAGCUAAUACCGCAUAACAAUGGAUGACACAUGUCAUUUAUUUGAAAGGGGCAAUUGCUCCACUACAAGAUGGACCUGCGUUGUAUUAGCUAGUAGGUGAGGUAAUGGCUCACCUAGGCGACGAUACAUAGCCGACCUGAGAGGGUGAUCGGCCACACUGGGACUGAGACACGGCCCAGACUCCUACGGGAGGCAGCAGUAGGGAAUCUUCGGCAAUGGGGGCAACCCUGACCGAGCAACGCCGCGUGAGUGAAGAAGGUUUUCGGAUCGUAAAGCUCUGUUGUAAGUCAGGAACGGGUGUGAGAGUGGAAAGUUCACACUGUGACGGUAGCUUACCGAGAAAGGGACGGCUAACUACGUGCCAGCAGCCCGG
rnacentral:rRNA from 1 species